rnacentral:hammerhead_ribozyme from 1 species
ACACUGCUAAGGAGACCCACAAUAGGACGAAACGGCCGUCCAGUGU